UCCUGGCUUAGGACGAACGCUGGCGGCGUGCCUAAUACAUGCAAGUCGAGCGCGGGAAGCAAGCUGAAGCCUUCGGGUGGACGUUGUGGAACGAGCGGCGGAUGGGUGAGUAACACGUGGGCAACCUGCCUGUAAGAUUGGGAUAACUUGCGGAAACGUGAGCUAAUACCAAAUAAAGCUUUUCAUCCCCUGAUGAGAAGAUGAAAGAUGGCUCCGGCUAUCACUUACAGAUGGGCCCGUGGCGCAUUAGCUAGUUGGUAGGAUAAAAGCUUACCAAGGCAACGGUGCGUAGCCGACCUGAGAGGGUGAUCGGCCACACUGGGACUGAGACACGGCCCAGACUCCUACGGGAGGCAGCAGUAGGGAAUCUUCCGCAAUGGACGCAAGUCUGACGGAAGCAACGCCGCGUGAGUGAUGAAGGUUUUCGGAUCGUAAAACUCUGUUGUUAGGGAAGAACAAGUACCGUUCGAAUAGGUCGGUACCUUGACGGUACCUAACCAGAAAGCCCCGGCUAACUACGUGCCAGCCGCCGC
rnacentral:rRNA from 1 species